CAGCAGCCGCGGGAAUACAUAGGGUGCGAGCGUUAAUCGGAUUUACUGGGCGUAAAGCGUGCGUAGGCGGCUUUUUAAGUCGGAUGUGAAAUCCCUGAGCUUAACUUAGGAAUUGCAUUCGAUACUGGGAAGCUAGAGUAUGGGAGAGGAUGGUAGAAUUCCAGGUGUAGCGGUGAAAUGCGUAGAGAUCUGGAGGAAUACCGAUGGCGAAGGCAGCCAUCUGGCCUAAUACUGACGCUGAGGUACGAAAGCAUGGGGAGCAAACAGGAUUAGAUACCCCGGUAGUCCCUGUCUCUUAUAC
rnacentral:rRNA from 1 species